rnacentral:lncRNA from 1 species
GGGGGUUUUUCUUAUAACGGGAAAACUUCCACUGAGAACCUUUACCCUUACUAUCUGUCUGCCUAAAAUAAUUUCUUAAUAACUCCUAUAUUAUUCCCCCCUCAAAGAGAAGUAAACCUAAUUGCUCUUAGGGGAUGUUGGAUGACGAAUCUUUCAAACUAGUUGAAAGUAUUUCUAACACCACUCCUAGAGGUAUGAAUCCCUAAACAAGAAAGAUAUGAUUUAGUUUUAUCCAUUUUGCAUUUUUAAUGAAUGGAAUCAUAAGGCAUGUAUUCAUCAGUGACUUUCUUUUUUAUGCUCAGAGAUUAACAUGCACUGCAAGAAAUAAUACAUGGAGAUCCUGUGUAUCUUUUACCUAGUUUCACCCAAGAGUAGCCUCUUGUAAAACAGUAGUAUAGUAUCACAACCAGGAUAUACUUACAUAGAUCAAUAUCGGAACAUGUCCAGCACCACUCAUAUUGCCUUUUUAUGUUCACAGCCACUUCCCUCCCACCCACACCCACUCCUUAACUCUGGGCAAUCACUAAGUUGUUCUCCAUUUCUAUAUUUUUUUCGUUUCACCAAUGAUAUAUAAAUGUUAUAUAUUGAAAUAGACUUUUUCCACUCAGCAUAAUUCCCUGAAGAUUACAGAUAAGUGUUGUAUAUAUCAACAAUUCAUUCCUUUUUAUUGCUGAGUAGUAUUUCAUGAUAUGGAUGUACCACAGUUUAACCACUGAUGUGCCAUAUUUAACCUGUUGAAGGACAUCUGUUUAUUCCCAGUAUUAUUUGUUGCUACUAUGUAAAUAAAGCUUCUAUAAAUGUUCAAGUACAAGUUUUAAUGUGAACAUAAUUCUUCAUUUCUCUGGAAUAAAUUCUCAGGUGUGCAGCUAAUGAAUUGUAUGGUCGGUGCAUGUUUUGCUUUAGAAGGAACUGUCAGCCCAGUGUGGUAGCUCACACCUGCAAUCCCAGUAACUCCUGAGUCUGAGGCAAGAGGAUCACUUGAGUCCAGGAGUUCGAGACGAGGCUAGGCAACAUAGAAAGACCUUAUUUCUACAAAAACAAAAAGAAAAUUAGGGCAACACAGUGAGACCUCAUCUCCACACACACACACACACACACACAAAUUAAGCUGGAUGUGGUGGAGGUGCUUGCAGUCCCAGCUACUCAGGAGAUGAAGGGGAGAAGAUCUCUUGAGCCUGGGAGUUCAAGGCUGCAGUGAGCUAUGAUUGCCUUCACCCUGGAUGACAGAGUGAGAUACUGUCUCACACACAAAAAAAAAAAAAAAAAAAA